rnacentral:tRNA from 1 species
GGAGAGGUGCCAGAGUGGCCGAAUGGGCCGGUCUCGAAAACCGGAGUGCGGGCAACCGUACCGUGGGUUCGAAUCCCA